rnacentral:rRNA from 1 species
GACGACCUCUGGCGGCGCGCCUAACACAUGCAAGUCGAACGAGCGAGAGAGAGCUUGCUUUCUUGAGCGAGUGGCGAACGGGUGAGUAACGCGUGAGGAACCUGCCUCAAAGAGGGGGACAACAGUUGGAAACGACUGCUAAUACCGCAUAAGCCCACGGCUCGGCAUCGAGCAGAGGGAAAAGGAGCAAUCCGCUUUGAGAUGGCCUCGCGUCUGAUUAGCUAGUUGGUGAGGUAACGGCCCACCAAGGCGACGAUCGGUAGCCGGACUGAGAGGUUGAACGGCCACAUUGGGACUGAGACACGGCCCAGACUCCUACGGGAGGCAGCAGUGGGGAAUAUUGCACAAUGGGGGAAACCCUGAUGCAGCGACGCCGCGUGGAGGAAGAAGGUCUUCGGAUUGUAAACUCCUGUUGUUGAGGAAGAUAAUGACGGUACUCAACAAGGAAGUGACGGCUAACUACGUGCCAGCAGCCGCGGUAAAACGUAGGUCACAAGCGUUGUCCGGAAUUACUGGGUGUAAAGGGAGCGCAGGCGGGAAGACAAGUUGGAAGUGAAAUCCAUGGGCUCAACCCAUGAACUGCUUUCAAAACUGUUUUUCUUGAGUAGUGCAGAGGUAGGCGGAAUUCCCGGUGUAGCGGUGGAAUGCGUAGAUAUCGGGAGGAACACCAGUGGCGAAGGCGGCCUACUGGGCACCAACUGACGCUGAGGCUCGAAAGUGUGGGUAGCAAACAGGAUUAGAUACCCUGGUAGUCCACACUGUAAACGAGGAUUACUAGGUGUGGGAGGAUUGACCCCUUCAGUGCCGCAGUUAACACAAUAAGUAAUCCACCUGGGGAGUACGACCGCAAGGUUGAAACUCAAAGGAAUUGACGGGGGCCCGCACAAGCAGUGGAGUAUGUGGUUUAAUUCGACGCAACGCGAAGAACCUUACCAAGUCUUGACAUCCUGCGACGGUGCUGGAAACAGUACUUUCCUUCGGGACGCAGAGACAGGUGGUGCAUGGUUGUCGUCAGCUCGUGUCGUGAGAUGUUGGGUUAAGUCCCGCAACGAGCGCAACCCUUAUGGUCAGUUACUACGCAAGAGGACUCUGGCCAGACUGCCGUUGACAAAACGGAGGAAGGUGGGGAUGACGUCAAAUCAUCAUGCCCUUUAUGACUUGGGCUACACACGUACUACAAUGGCGUUAAACAAAGAGAAGCAAGACCGCGAGGUGGAGCAAAACUCAGGAACAACGUCCCAGUUCGGACUGCAGGCUGCAACUCGCCUGCACGAAGUCGGAAUUGCUAGUAAUCGCAGAUCAGCAUGCUGCGGUGAAUACGUUCCCGGGCCUUGCACU